UCAAGCUACAAAGAGCUUACGAUGAAUGCCUUGGCGCUAAGAGGCGAUGAAGGACGUGAUAAACUGCGAUAAGCCUCGGGGAGCGGUAGUACGCUUUGAUCCGAGGAUCUCCGAAUGGGGUAACCCCAUACGAUUAAUCUCGUAUGACUUCUGACUGAAUCCAUAGGUCAGAUAGAGCAACACCUGGUGAAGUGAAACAUCUCAGUAACCAGAGGAAAAGAAAGAGAAUUCGAUUCCGUGAGUAGUGGCGAGCGAAAGCGGAUCAGCCCAAACCAGUCAGCUUGCUGACUGGGGUUGUAGGGCCACAAUGUGGUAGUUGAACGAUUAGAGGAAGCGGAUGGAAAGUCGCUCCAUAGAAGGUGAGAGACCUGUACUCGAAAAUCCGACAACGCCUAGUGGUACCCUGAGUAACGCGAUGCACGUGAAACUUCGCGUGAAGCAACAGCGACCACGCUGUAAGGCUAAAUACUUCUUAGCGACCGAUAGUGAACAAGUACCGCGAGGGAAAGGUGAAAAGUACCGCUGUGAGCGGAGUGAAAUAGUACCUGCAAUCGUAUGCUUACAAGGUGUCAAAGCCCGCAAGGGUGAUGGCGUGCCUUUUGCUUAAUGAGUCUGCGAGUUAUUGUCCCUGGCAAGCCUAAGUCCCUCUGGGAUGGAGGCGUAGCGAAAGCGAGUCCGAAAUGGGCGAUUUAGUCGGUGGCAGUAGACCCGAAGCGGAGGUGAUCUACGCAUGGUCAGGUUGAAGGUUACUUAACCGUAACUGAAGGACCGAACUGGUGAAGGUUGAAAACUUCUCAGAUGAACUGUGUGUAGGAGCGAAAGACUAAUCAAACCCCGUGAUAGCUGGUUCUCUCCGAAAUAGCUUGAGGGCUAGCCUCGGAUACUGACUGGUGGAGGUAAAGCACUGGAUGGACUAUGGUCCCUAACGGGAUACUGAAUCCAACCAAACUCUGAAUGCCACCAGGCGCAAUCCGGGAGUCAGACAGUGGGGGAUAAGCUUCAUUGUCGAGAGGGAAACAACCCAGAUCGCCAGCUAAGGUGCCUAAAUAUCGUUUAGUGGAAAGGAUGUUAGAUUUCAUUGACAGUGAGGAUGUUGGCUUAGAGGCAGCCAUCAUUUAAACAGUGCGUAAUAGCUGACUCAUCGAGAAAUCUAGCGCCGAAAAUGAUUGGCGAUAAGCGAUAUACCGAAGCUGCGGAUACAUACCGAUUUCGAUUGGUAUGCAUGGUAGGAGAGCGUUCUUAGCACUGUGAAGCGGUAGGGAAACCAUCCGUGGAGUGCUCGGAAGUGAGGAUGCAGACAUGAGUAGCGAUAAGACAGGUUUAAUUCCUGUCCGCCGUAAGCCCAAGGUUUCCUGGGGAAGGUUCGUCCUCCCAGGGUUAGUCGGGAUCUAAGGUGAGGCCGUAAGGCGUAGCCGAUGACCAGCAGGUUCAAUAUUCCUGCACCACCGACAUUUAAACCGGAAUGACGCAUGUGAGGAGACAGUCCAGGUGUUGAUUAUCCUGGUCCCGCAAGGGGAUGUGAGGAAGCAAUUCUGAGCAGAUCUGUUAAAUCAUGUGCCGAGAAAAGUUCCGGCGUAUACUAAGGUGCCCGUACCGCAAACCGACACAGGUGGGCGAGUAGAAUAUACUAAGGCGCGUGAGUGAAAACUCUUGAAGGAACUCGGCAAAUUAACCCCGUAACUUCGGAAGAAGGGGUACCCUCGUAAGAGGGGCGCAGUGAAAUGAGUCAACCGACUGUUUAACAAAAACACAGCACUCUGCUAAGUCGCAAGACGACGUAUAGGGUGUGACACGUGACCAAUGCGGAAAGAUUACGGUAAGGGGUCAGCCGCAAGGCGAAGCUCUGAGCCCAAGUCCCCGUGAAUGUCGGCCGUAACUAUAACGGUCCUAAGGUAGCGAAAUUCCUUGUCGGGUAAGUUCCGACCUGCACG
rnacentral:rRNA from 1 species